GGUUCCAUAGUGUAGCGGUUAGCACAUCUGCUUUACAUGCAGAAGGUCCUGAGUUCAUUCCGGGGUGGAGCCA
rnacentral:tRNA from 1 species